CAGUUGAUCCUAGGGUUUUAUCAGGGUUUGAUACAAGUUCCCAUUUUCGAUCAACAAACCGCUCUGUAAUGGCCACCUCUAUCAUUCUCAUAAUUCACAAUUCCCCCCAAAAUUGACGUCAAACAUGGAGAACAAAACCGCCCCUUUAUCAACUAUCGAAGAACCAGAACCCAAAAAGCAAAAAAUGUCCACCACCACCUCCGACGACGAAGAAGCUGCAACCACUGCCGUCGCCGGAGAUGGUCCAGCACCUGAGAGGAAACCGAGAUACAAGCGUCGAAAAAUCGCAAUAUUCUUCGCGUACUGCGGCGUAGGUUAUCAGGGUAUGCAGAAGAAUCCUGGAGCUAAAACAAUCGAAGGCGAUUUAGAAGAAGCACUAUAUCAAGCAGGUGGUGUGCCUGAGCAUGACAAGUGUCAACCCCGAAGGUAUGAUUGGGCUCGUUCUGCUCGUACUGAUAAGGGUGUAAGCGCCGUGGGUCAGGUCGUCUCGGGUCGGUUUUACGUCGACCCGCCUGGUUUUAUUGAUCGGCUUAACUCGAUCCUCUCUCCUCAAAUCCGGAUCUUUGGGUUUAAACGGGUAACAAAUGCGUUUAAUGCUAAGAAGUUCUGUGACCGGCGUAGGUAUGUGUAUUUUGUUCCUGUUUUUGCUCUUGACCCAUCCUCACAUCGUGAUAGAGAGACUGUAUUAGCUAGUGUAGGAUCUGGGAAAGAGCUUGUUAAGUGUUUGGAGUGUUCGGAAAGGGGUCGUAAAGUAUUUGGAGUAAUGGGUAAACGCGUUNGCGCGUUUACGAUCCGAUAACUAAAUGCACAAGUAACUUUGCAAAAUAUAGAGAGUAAUGUGAAUGUUAAUGCAAAUGAUGUGAUCACUGAGUCAAAUAUGGUAAUUGAAAAUGGAGCUUCUUUAAGUGAGAAGGGUGAAGAAACGAAGGAGGAAGUUGAGAAAGGCGACGAAAAUGCUAAAGCAAUAGAAGAACAAGUAGAAGAGAGUGUGUUUUCCUAUGGAGAGAAAGAAAAAGAAAGAUUUAACAGAAUUUUGAAGUACUACGAGGGAACUCACAAUUUUCACAAUUUCACAACGAGAACAAAAGCUGAUGAUCCUGCUGCCAAGCGAUAUAUCAUUUCAUUUACUGCAAACACUAUAGUGAACGUCGAAGGCAUUGAAUUUGUGAAGUGCGAGGUUGUGGGUCAGAGCUUUAUGCUUCAUCAAAUCCGUAAAAUGAUUGGUCUUGCUGUUGCGAUCAUGAGAAACUGUGCUCCUGAAUCCUUAAUUCAAACUGCCUUCCGAAGGGAUGUCAACAUCAAUGUUCCUAUGGCGCCUGAGGUUGGAUUGUAUUUGGAUGAAUGCUUUUUCACCUCAUAUAACAGUAAGUGGAAGGACACUCAUGAAGAAGUGUCUCUGAAAGCUUAUACAGAGGCGGCAGAAGAAUUUAAAAUGAAGUAUAUCUAUAGUCAUAUUGCAUCGACGGAACACAAGGAUGGAACAAUGGCUCUAUGGCUGCAUUCCCUUAACUAUCGUAAUUACCCUGAUUUGCGUGGUGUGGAUAAUGAUAAUUCUGCUGGUGCUAGUGAUGGUUCAAAAGCCAUUGAAGCUGUUGUUGAGGCUGGUAUAGGUGCUGUCAAGAAUGGUGAGAGCACCGAUAAUGUUAAUUCUGCUGGUGCUGUUGAUGAUUCAAAAGCUGGUGAAGCUGUUGUUGAGGCUGGUUUAGGUGCUGUCAACGAUGGUGAGAGCACCGAUAAUGUUAAUAUUGCUGGUGCUGGUGAUGGUUCAGAAGUUGAAACUGUUAUUGAGGUUGGUUUAAGUGCUGUCGACAAUGGUGAGAGUGCCGAUGCCAAAGAUGCUGACGCAGGGGGUGAUGCUGAUUUAGUCACCUCAUAGGCUAUGCUCUGUCGAACAACUCUCGGUAUCUAUUGGCAUGAAUAUCAUGUAAACUUUUCCCUCUGUAUUUCUAUAAUUUAUGGUGUUCUAUUCUUUGAAGGGAACUCCAUAUAGCAAAGACAGAGAAAGCUCUUGAUCCUAUUUAUAUGACAUGUCAAAUUUAGUCUUGAAACUUUGUUAAUUUUGUUGAAGCGCUUCAAAUGAUGUUGAAGUGAAGCAGAUGGUUUAACUGUUGUUGAAGUGAACAAACUGUAAUUUGAUAAAUUACAUGUUUUAUUUAAUUCU